rnacentral:rRNA from 1 species
UCCGUAGGCGGGCAAUUAAGUCAGAGGUGAAAUCCCACAGCUCAACUGUGGAACUGCCUUUGAUACUGGUUGUCUUGAGUUACAGUGAAGUAGAUAGAAUAUGUAGUGUAGCGGUGAAAUGCAUAGAUAUUACAUAGAAUACCGAUUGCGAAGGCAGUCUACUAACUGUAUACUGACGCUAAUGGACGAAAGCGUGGGAGCGAACAGGAUUAGAUACCCUGGUAGUCC